rnacentral:tRNA from 1 species
GAGGCCUUAGCUUAAUUUAAAGUGCUUGAGUUGCAUUCAGGUGAUGCGGGUUUGUCUCGUAGGUUUUA